UACGUAGGAGGCAAGCGUUGUCCGGAAUUACUGGGUGUAAAGCGCGUGUAGGCGGCAGGCCAAGUCUGUGGUGAAAUCGCUCGGCUCAACCGGGCGAGGUCCAUGGAAACUGGUCAGCUGGAGGACGGUAGAGGUGAGUGGAAUUCCCGGUGUAGUGGUGAAAUGCGUAGAGAUCGGGAGGAACACCCGUGGCGAAGGCGGCUCACUGGGCCGGUCCUGACGCUGAGACGCGAAGGCGUGGGGAGCGAACGGG
rnacentral:rRNA from 1 species